ACAUUGAUAACAUCUUGGUUGAGCUCGCAUCUUUGUUGAGCUCGCAACUUUGAAUGAGCUCGCAAGUUUGGAUGGGCUCGCAGCUUUGCGACCUGAGUUCGCCAUUAAAUGAAUGGCCACUUCGUAACAAAAGGAUCAAAGGUACACUUAUCAAAACCUUAUAUUUUACCUUUAAACCUUAGAUUUGCUUUUCUUGAAGGCCAAGAUCAUUAGAUUUGCUUGAUAAUGAACGCUUUGAAUUCAUAUUUUAGAAGGAGAUUUUUGUGGAUAAAUACUUCAAUUUAAAAUGGUAUUUUAUCCCCCAAAUGUUACUUGGGGAAGUUGCCUUAUUUUGCCUAUAAAUAGGCAGUGCCGAUGCACAUUGGAUACAUCUUUUGGGAGUGUAUUUACUUGAGCUACUACCAUCUUCUUUGCUUGUAUUUGCUUUGUUUAUUUCACUCUUUAUAUAGGCUUUCUUAGUGGGUGAGUAAUUGUAACUAUUGGGCAUAUUUGUUGGGGUUACAAUUGCUUCUUGUUGCAACUAUUGGGCAUAUUUGUUGGGGUUACAAUUACUUGUUAUUGUAGCGGUAGAUUAGGCUUUAGCCAAUAAAUUUUUGAAUUUAUUAUUAAAUAAAUCGUUCAUUGAUAAAACUAUGUAGAUUAAAAUUUUUAUCCGAGCCGUGUCAAAAAAAUCAUGUGUGUGAAUCUCUCUUUAAAAACUGUUGUUAAGCUAUCUUAUUCCAAACUAUGUUAGAACAUUAGUUGACACAUCGAAUUGGGAUAGGGAGCAAACUGACUUCUUUUUCAACUCCUCCUUGAUGGCGGUUCUGUUGGUUGUAGGUAUGACGGCCUGCCAUUGUUGGCUUCUUCGAUCACUCUCCUUCCUCCCUUGUUGCAUGCCGUAGCCACCAAAAGUUGUGGUGGCUAGGGUUUGUUUCUUUGGGAUUGAGUUGGACCUUGAUUGCCCAAGUACUCAUUGUUUGAAUUAUUUUGGACUUUUGAGCCUCCUUAUUCAGUUGCUAAAAAAAUUGCAAAUUAGUCCACUUUAAUUUCUUGAAUUUUAUAAUCAUAUUUGUAAAAUAUAUUUCAUAGGUCAAAGAUGGUGUUCUAUACCGAACUAAACUUUAGUAUAAGAGAUUUAGAAUCUUCUCUAGAACCACGACAUUCUCUCAACUCUACGGUAUUUAAUGGUACAUUAUUUGUAUUCAUGAACCAGUCCAUAUAUAUUGAUUUUCAGAGUUUAAGGUUUUGGCUCCUUUAUCCCAUAAUUUACCUAAAGCAAUGCUCUGAAAUUAUUUUGCUUGCAUGGCUGUUUAUUGAUGACCUGGUAUUGGCUUUUGUGGAUGGUGUAAAAUGUAAAGAAAGUGCUGCUUGUAAUAUUCAGAGACAUGGACUAUGAGUACGACACAAGAAGAAAAGCAUGUUUGGCAUUAUGUUGAAUGAUAGUAACGAGAAAUUUAUGACACACACACAUACAUACACACAGAAUCCUCAAGUCCUCUGCACAAAUCUCUCAGUGACAGUUUUUACAUUAUUACUGGUAUCAGUUUAAUAACAAUGAUCUGAUUUGAUUUCUAGCUUUCUCAAACAAAAUGACUGAGGCCUUCUUCCACAGUGGUGUAUUUCACUUCAGGGUAGAGCUCAGAAGCUUCGUAUCCGAAUGAUGGAUCGAUCUCGAAGUUGGUGCAGUCACCAUUGACAAAGAUUGAGUGACUGAUGGCCAACACAAUAUUGAUUGGGAUUGGAGACUCUGCAAGAAUUUGAUAAAAUGCAUGAAUAAAUAACCAAAGUAUAAUAAGAUUCCUAUGAACAAAUCCAAAAUAAGAGCAGGAGAUUUUAUCAACCUUGGAUCUGUUUGAGAAGUUGGUCCUCAGGAACAUAUGUUUUCUCAAGGGCUUUGCCAAUCAACUUCUCCCACAGGGCGAUGAGCUCGUUAAAUGAGUAGGUGUUCUUGGGAGGCUUGAUGAAUAGAGUCUUGUUCGCUGUUCUGGGGUCAUCGACAGCUUUGAUGGUGUACGUUCCGAUGUCAGCUUCAUGGUUGAAAA
rnacentral:lncRNA from 1 species